GUUUGAACUCUGAAAGAUCAUAUUAUUUAUUUAUUUGUUUGUCUUUCCUUCUCAAAGACAGUUAAUUACUGAAGCACCGAGAGAGAACGUUUUGUAUUCCUGCUUUGCUACUGUGCCUCACAAACCUGGGACUAAUGAGGCCAAGUUCUCACCCCAGCUGUGAACUUGCUGACUUUCCUGCUUGGAAACCGGAGCAGAGCUUCUGAACAUUGACUCAAGAGGCUACAGAAGUCCAUGAAGCUUCACCAGGCCCUGAAAGCUAAAACCUACGCCCGUUGCUCAAAGCAACAUCAUCAGGAAAAUUUGUUGAGAAGACUCCAAGAGGUGCUGUUGCCCGGGGGCAAUGCUCCCACCCGUCAAGCUUUGAGUCCGAUAGAGAGAAAGCAUCAGGCUUGCACUCUUCCUCAUCAUCACCUCCUCUACGGUGGGCCCUGCAGGGAUGCAGCUGCUUUUGAGCCACUCCCAUGCAGGACAGCAGAGUGAUGAAUUUAUUAUGACCCAUAUCUCUGGAGCCUGGGAAGUCUGAGAUCAAAGCUCUUGUUGUACUCUGGAACGGGCAUUCUUGAAGUCAUAGCAAGGUGGAAACCAUCGUGUUACAGAAGAACCUUGCUGAGUCUCUUGCCUCGAAUGAACUGAAAGUGGAACCCUAGAAAGAAGACAGCCCAGGGCUUAUCAUGGAUUCUUGAAAAGAGCAGGCCAACAUGAGAUGACAGCCAAAUAGGACAAGACAAGAUAUAAUAUGACAAGGCAACCUAAUGGGAGGAGAAGAGUUCCAAGAACAGGCAAAGGAGCCAGAGAAACACCUACUCCCACUGUUAGGAGUCCCACAAAACUACCAAGCUAAAACUUGGAGAAGACCUGCUGCCAACCAUGCAGGCCCCAUGCUUGCUUCUUAAGUCUCUG